UGCGUAGGCGGUUUAAUAAGUCAGAGGUGAAAGCCCGCAGCUCAACUGUGGAAUUGCCUUUGAUACUGUUAGACUUGAAUCAGGUUGAGGUUGGCGGAAUGUGGCAUGUAGCGGUGAAAUGCAUAGAUAUGCCAUAGAACACCAAUUGCGAAGGCAGCUGACUAGACCUGUAUUGACGCUGAGGCACGAAAGCGUGGGGAGCGAACAGGAUUAGAUACCCUGGUAGUCC
rnacentral:rRNA from 1 species